rnacentral:rRNA from 1 species
GGCCUUGACAUACUAAGAACUUUCCAGAGAUGGAUUUGGUGCCUUCGGGAACUUAGAUACAGGUGCUGCAUGGCUGUCGUCAGCUCGUGUCGUGAGAUGUUGGGUUAAGUCCCGNAACGAGCGCAACCCUUUUCCUUAUUUGCCAGCGGGUCAUGCCGGGAACUUUAAGGAUACUGCCAGUGACAAACUGGAGGAAGGCGGGGACGACGUCAAGUCAUCAUGGCCCUUACGGCCAGGGCUACACACGUGCUACAAUGGUCGGUACAAAGGGUUGCUACCUCGCGAGAGGAUGCUAAUCUCAAAAAGCCGAUCGUAGUCCGGAUCGCAGUCUGCAACUCGACUGCGUGAAGUCGGAAUCGCUAGUAAUCGCGGAUCAGAAUGCCGCGGUGAAUACGUUCCCGGGCCUUGUACACACCGCCCGUCACACCAUGGGAGUUUGUUGCACCAGAAGUAGGUAGUCUAACCGCAAGGAGGACGCUUACCACGGUGUGGCCGAUGACUGGGGUGAAGUCGUAACAAGGUAGGCGUAGAUGA